UUUGGUGGCUAUUGCGGCGGGGCCCACCUCUUCCCAUUCCGAACAGAGUAGUUAAGCCCGCCUGCGCAGAUGGUACUGAAUCAAAUCGGGAGAGUAUGUCGCCGCCGAAU
rnacentral:rRNA from 1 species